UACGGGGGGGGGCAAGCGUUGUUCGGAAUUACUGGGCGUAAAGGGCUCGUAGGCGGCCAACUAAGUCAGACGUGAAAUCCCUCGGCUUAACCGGGGAACUGCAUCUGAUACUGGAUGGCUUGAGUUCGGGAGAGGGAUGCGGAAUUCCAGGUGUAACGGUGAAAUGCGUAGAUAUCUGGAGGAACACCGGUGGCGAAGGCGGCAUCCUGGACCGACACUGACGCUGAGGAGCGAAAGCCAGGGGAGCAAACGGG
rnacentral:rRNA from 1 species